rnacentral:lncRNA from 1 species
CCACAUUAUCAUCUAGGUUUGGUUGAAAGAGAGAGUCAUCAAUGCAACAACUGACUGUGCCAUGUAUGACUAAACCAAUCUUAUCUGUCAUGAGAACUUUUAGCCUCACGCAGUUCCGCAAAUAAUUUGAACAAAAAACACACAAACCAUUUUAUAUCCAACAAUUUGCAUUCAGAGUUAUGCUUAAAAUAAUUGAAUAAGAUGAGAGAAGGUUGUUGAAUUUUAUAAGGACCUCUUAUUUUUAAUGUAUUGAAAUAAACACCUGGCACGAAUUCUAAUAAACAUUUUGGAAAAUAAUGCUGGACCAAUAUAAGGCUCUGAUGGUAAGCAACCCCCACUUCCAACCGAGAGGUUGUGAGUUCGAGUCUCCCCAAGAAAAGGUCAUUAGCGACCAGAAAAAUAUAUAAAGUUUAUCACCAUAAUAUUAAGACAAGAGGGAUUGCUCUGAUGGUAAGCAACCCCCACUUCCAACCGAGAGGUUGUGAGUUCGAGUCUACCUAAGAGCAAGGUGGGAAGUUCUUGAAGGGAAGGAUGUCGGGGGUCUAUUUGAAAAUAGCCUCUCUAUCCCGGGGUAGAGGUAAGGUCUGCGUACAUACUACCCUCCCCAGACCCCACUAUGUGGGAUUAUACUGGGUUGUUGUUGUUGUUGUUUCAAGAGAAUACUCUGCAAUAUGAAUAUUUAAAGGCCACUCUAUUCAUAUCUAUCUCAUUCCAAUACAAUAUAAUACUCUCUCUUAUUCAUUUUAUACAAAACCCUUUUUUUAUUCCAAAAAGAUUGACACCUUUUUAUAUUUGAAAAUUCUUUAAAUUAACACUCAUGUUUUUGCCGUUAAAGCCCUUACAGAUAUGAUCUUAUAGGAAUUGAAGUGACUUCCAUUGUUUAUGUCCUUAAAUUUAACGCUCCGUAAUAGCAUAUUUGUCAGCAUGUACUUCCAUUGUUUAUGUCUUAUUUUGACUAAGCACAAAAUUAAUGAAGACUUUUGAAUCUUGUGGUCAUAAUUAAAGAUGUGUAUAACAUACAAAUAAUACCCUUUGAAUCUUG